rnacentral:rRNA from 1 species
GGGCGAAAGCCUGAUCCAGCCAUUCCGCGUGAGUGAAGAAGGCCUUCGGGUUGUAAAGCUCUUUCGCAAGGGAAGAACACUUACUUUCUAAUAAAGAGUGAGGUUGACGGUACCUUGAUAAGAAGCACCGGCUAACUACGUGCCAGCAGCCGCGGUAAUACGUAGGGUGCGAGCGUUAAUCGGAAUUACUGGGCGUAAAGCGUGCGCAGGCGGUUUUGUAAGUCAGAUGUGAAAUCCCCGAGCUCAACUUGGGAACUGCGUUUGAAACUACAAGACUAGAAUAUGUCAGAGGGGGGUAGAAUUCCACGUGUAGCAGUGAAAUGCGUAGAGAUGUGGAGGAAUACCAAUGGCGAAGGCAGCCCCCUGGGAUAAUAUUGACGCUCAUGCACGAAAGCGUGGGGAGCAAACAGGAUUAGAUACCCUGGUAGUCCACGCCCUAAACGAUGUCUACUAGUUGUUGGUGGAGUAAAAUCCAUGAGUAACG